AUAUACCACCGUCGUCAGCUUACCCUGCGAAGACCCAAUAGUAAGCACAAUUGGCACAGCCCAAAACGUCAGGUCGAGGUGUAGCGUAUGGAAGGGGAAGAAAUGGGCUACAUUCCCUACCCCAGGGAACCACGAACGAUACUCUGAAAUAAGUAUCUAAAGGAGGAUUUAGCAGUAAGCAGAAAAUAGAGCGUUCCGCUGAAACCGGCCCUGAAGCGCGCACACACCGCCCGUCACUCUCCCCGAGCUUAAUAAACUCAACUAACUAAAACCCCAUAAUUGCAAAGGGGAGGCAAGUCGUAACAUGGUAAGUGUACCGGAAGGUGCACUUGGAAAAAU
rnacentral:rRNA from 1 species